CUUGUAGGCACUCUCAGCUUGUAGGCACUCAGUUUGUAGGUACUCUCAGCUUGUAGGCACUCUCAGCCUGUAGGCACUCUCAGCUUGUAGGCACUCUCAGCUUGUAGGCACUCUCAGCUUGUUGGUACUCUCAGCUUGUAGGCACUCUCAGCUUGUAGGUACUUGAAGGUACUCUCAGCUUGUAGGUACUCUCAGCUUGUAGGUACUCUAAGCUUGUAGGCAUUCCCAGUUUGUAGGUACUCAGCUUGUAGGUACUCUCAGCUUGUAGGUACUCUCAGCUUGUAGGCACUCUCAGCUUGUAGGUACUCUCAGCUUGUAGGUACUCUCAGCUUGUAGGCACUCAGUUUGUAGGGGCACUCAGUUUGUAGGUACUCUCAGCUUGUAGGCACUCUCAGCUUGUAGGUACUCUCAGCUUGUAGGCACUCUCAGCC
rnacentral:lncRNA from 1 species